rnacentral:rRNA from 1 species
GCCAGACUCCUACGGGAGGCAGCAGUGAGGAAUAUUGGUCAAUGGCCGGAAGGCUGAACCAGCCAUGCCGCGUGAAGGUCAGUGCCCUAUGGGCGUUAAACUUCUUUUGUGCGGGAGCAAUAAUGGUCACGUGUGGCCAGACGAGAGUACCGUACGAAUAAGCAUCGGCUAACUACGUGCCAGCAGCCGCGGUAAUACGUAGGGAGCGAGCGUUAUCCGGAAUUAUUGGGUGUAAAGGGUGCGUAGACGGGAAAACAAGUUAGUUGUGAAAUCCCUCGGCUUAACUGAGGAACUGCAACUAAAACUAUUUUUCUUGAGUGCAGGAGAGGUAAGUGGAAUUCCUAGUGUAGCGGUGAAAUGCGUAGAUAUUAGGAGGAACACCAGUGGCGAAGGCGACUUACUGGACUGUAACUGACGUUGAGGCACGAAAGUGUGGGGAGCAAACAGGAUUAGAUACCCGGGUA